rnacentral:rRNA from 1 species
UACGUAGGUGGCAAGCGUUGUCCGGAAUUAUUGGGCGUAAAGCGCGCGCAGGCGGUCCUUUAAGUCUGAUGUGAAAGCCCACGGCUCAACCGUGGAGGGUCAUUGGAAACUGGGGGACUUGAGUGCAGAAGAGGAGAGUGGAAUUCCACGUGUAGCGGUGAAAUGCGUAGAGAUGUGGAGGAACACCAGUGGCGAAGGCGACUCUCUGGUCUGUAACUGACGUGAGGCGCGAAAGCGUGGGGAGCAAACAGG